rnacentral:rRNA from 1 species
GAUGAACGCUGGCGGCGUGCCUAAUACAUGCAAGUCGAGCGAACAGACGAGGAGCUUGCUCCUCUGACGUUAGCGGCGGACGGGUGAGUAACACGUGGAUAACCUACCUAUAAGACUGGGAUAACUUCGGGAAACCGGAGCUAAUACCGGAUAAUAUAUUGAACCGCAUGGUUCAAUAGUGAAAGACGGUUUUGCUGUACCUUAUAGAUGGAUCCGCGCCGCAUUAGCUAGUUGGUAAGGUAACGGCUUACCAAGGCAACGAUGCGUAGCCGACCUGAGAGGGUGAUCGGCCACACUGGAACUGAGACACGGUCCAGACUCCUACGGGAGGCAGCAGUAGGGAAUCUUCCGCAAUGGGCGAAAGCUUGACGGAGCAACGCCGCGUGAGUGAUGAAGGUCUUCGGAUCGUAAAACUCUGUUAUUAGGGAAGAACAAAUGUGUAAGUAACUAUGCACGUCUUGACGGUACCUAAUCAGAAAGCCACGGCUAACUACGUG